CAGCCGCCACGGGAAUACGUAGGGUGCAAGCGUUAGUCGGAAUUACUGGGCGUAAAGCGUGCGCAGGCGGUUAUAUAAGACAGAUGUGAAAUCCCCGGGCUCAACCUGGGAACUGCAUUUGUGACUGUAUAGCUAGAGUACGGCAGAGGGGGAUGGAAUUCCGCGUGUAGCAGUGAAAUGCGUAGAUAUGCGGAGGAACACCGAUGGCGAAGGCAAUCCCCUGGGCCUGUACUGACGCUCAUGCACGAAAGCGUGGGGAGCAAACAGGAUUAGAGACCCCCGUAGUCCCUGUCUCUUAUAC
rnacentral:rRNA from 1 species